AUGUAUUUCAAACAAAAAGGUGGUGAUAUAAUCUCGUUCAGCUGCAAGCAAGACAUCCUGCGUGGCUCUGGCUGCUCCGACCCUGGCGGUGCUCCUGCUCCGCAGCCCCUUCCCGCUGCCAGCCGCCGUGAGCUGCUGUUUGCUUUAAUUACGCUCCCGUUCGCUCGCGCUGCAUACAUUUCUUUUACAAGAUGCAGGAGCAGAGAGCCUGGACACGCAUCCCCCCACACUUCAGCACGCUGUUUAAAGCUUAUGCCAGACUCAUUAAACGUUUCCUCUGCCUCUCUCUGCAGCACGAUGAUCCUGUCCAGCCCCGCUGCCCACACGCGCCCCCAGCCCCACGCCCACGGGGCUGAGGCUGCCUGGGCAGGCGCUGACAGCCGCCGAGGUGCGGGGCUGCCGGGGCUGUCGCGGGUGUGCUGUGGCCCCAGCAGGCUCAGCACCCGUGCACGGACCUGCUGGGGGUCUCCUUGGGCAUGCACAAUGAAAGUUUCUACUGCUUCCCUUGGGUAUCUCAUACAUCAUUCUGCCAGGAAAAGAGAAAAUCAGGAAUACUGUGUCUAUGCUCAGGUCCAACUCUUUAUACCUCCUUUUGAGAAUCUGUGUGGCCGGCUGCCCGUACGCCUGUCCCAGCUCCUCCUGCCGUUGUGUGGUGGAGCUGGAGGGCGGCCGUGAGCCCAUCCGAUAGCGCGGGGUCCGACGGCUCUUGCGUUCCUCAGGUGCCCUUUGUGCCUUGGAGGAGCCCAGCCUGGCGCUCGGCAUCUGGCUCUGCUCCAGUCACCGACAGAAUGGCUGUGUGCAUGGCCUGAAGUGAUACCACUGCUGGAAACAAUCUUUGCUUUCAUCCUUCAUUGCAGACUCAUCCCAGUUUUUGUCUGAAAUCUUUUUUUGCCUCUUCCAUCCUAACUGUAUCCAGAUUUUCCUGUUUCCUCCCUCAUGUCUCAGCUGUAUCAGCUGCACUGGUCCCAGCCGCGUUUCUCUUGGUCAUAUUCUGCAUUUUCCUGAUUCUUCCAAGUCCUGCUUCUUGUGCUGGUGGUGGUAUUUGUGAUUUAUCCCAGCUGAGUCUCGUCUGUAAACUUUAUUGAUAGGGUGUUUAUUCUCUCUUUCAAAGUACUAGUGGUACUUAUAAGCCAUACUUGCCCUAGCGCCUGCCGCCCACCCUCUCCCUCCCCAGGAUGCCCGUGCUGCUGCUCCAGGGGCUCCCGGAGCUGCUGCAGGCCCGGGGCUCGGCCCGAGCUGUGCCCUGGUGCUCCUUGGAGCCUGAGGUGCGGCGCAGCUCGGCUGGGCAGCGGGGGAAGCCUCACGGCCCCUCCAGGGCUCCUGCAUCUGGAAACGCAAUUGCUGCCUCCUGACUCGCAGCCUUGCUUUUGAGCACUGCGCUCUAAUUCUGGCCUCAUACUCCCCUGAGCAGCGCGUCCCUGACUUCCCCUUCUUCCUUCAGGGCUGUCACGGUGUAAUUGAUGAUUUUAGGGAGUAGUUGACUCCGACUGCUUGGUUUUGCUCUGUAAGUUCAUUCCCAUGAUCUGGACCCAUGGCGACUCGCGUCUCGCUGUCAGGGCACUGCAGGAAUGUCCCUGACGUGACGUGAUGCUUGCCCACGCAGACCAGUGACAUCCUGCAGAGCGCCCGGUGCUGUGCCAUGCCGUGCCACGCUGCUCCGCAUGGCGCUGCCGUG
ensembl:lncRNA